rnacentral:rRNA from 1 species
GACGGAGGGUGCUAGCGUUGUUCGGAAUUAUUGGGCGUAAAGGGCGCGUAGGCGGCUCGGCACGUCCGUUGUGAAAUCGCCCGGCUCAACUGGGCGGGGUCGGCGGAUACGGCCGAGCUGGAGCAAGCUAGGGGGUAAUGGAAUUCCCGGUGUAGUGGUGGAAUGCGUAGAUAUCAGGAAGAACACCCGUGGCUAAGGCGGUUCUCUAGUACGGUACUGACGCUGAGACGCGAAAGCGUGGGGAGCGAACAGG